UGGAUUGCAAAAAUUGAAAAAAAACUUUUGGGGACAAAAUUUAUAUUUUUCCAAAGUUCAGAGGUCAAAAUUAAAUAAAAGAUAAAAUUCAGGGACCAAAGUGCAAUUACUAUAAGGACCUACAUGAAAGAAAUUUAAAAUGUUUUGAACCACAGUAAAACUACUCUAAAGAUCAGGGGCUAAAGUGCAAGUUCGUUUCUGAUUUGGGCAAGAAAAGGGCAUCGGGCCUCCCUUGUUAUUUUACUUGGGCCGAACCUACCUAAACCCAACUGAAAGCCCAAGCCAAAACACACAGGCCAGCCCGUCUUUUAUCACUCAAACCCAGCCAAAAAAAUACAUAGGCUCCAACCUCCUAACCCAACCGAAACCCAAAAGAAAAAUAAACCAAAGCCCAUCCCCCAAAACCUAACAAAAUAACCACAAACCCACCUUAAAAAACUCACCUUAGCCCAAACACCUUUUUUCUUUCUUUCUUUCUUUCCUUCUUUUCUUUUCUUCCUCCACUUCCAGCCGUUUCUUUUUUUCUUCUUCUUCGGCCAGCUGCUCCGGCGACCUCUCCGGUCACCAAAAAUUUCUCAAAAUACACCUCCCCACUCCAUUUUUCGCCUAGAUUCCAUUUCCGGAGUUAGUUUUUACGAAAAAUGAGCCAAAAGUGGUCAAAAUGCCAAGAAAUCAGUUCAGUUUUUAUUUUUUUAAAACCCUCACAUCUUCACCAAAAAUCAUAAAAAUUAUGCCAAAACCUUCUUGAUAACUUCUACAAUACAACUAUAAUCUUAGUUUGACAAGUAAACAACAACAAAAGGAUGCAUUAAAUCAAAACAGCCCCAAAAAUGAAGAAAAUUAUUCUAAUGCUUUUAAGGCUCAAAAACUCCCAAAAUUUUGGAUAACCAAGCAUUUUCAGAUCUUUGCUAGCUAAUGGUCUUCCAUUUAAGCAAAACAUACACGCCAAAUUCACUUCUUUGAUUCAUUUUUUCAUUUAGACAUUUUUUCAAACAUUUGGCAUGCAUUCACAGCACCGUUUCUUUUUUUCUAAUUUUGUUCAGUGACCCAUCCCAAAAUUUCAUCCAUACAACACCAGCAAAAACCAGCAAAAAUAAGCAAUAAAAAAGGUAACCACACAUACAUUCAAUCUAGUUAAUUAAAAAAAGAAAAGCUGGAAAAAAGGGAGAUAAAUACCUCAAUGAAGAGUUUGGUCCCUUUGCCAAGAUUUUUGAUGAAAUUGCCAAGCUCCAAUCCAACCGAGUGCUCCCUUGUUGUGUGCAAAUAUGUUGGAAAAAAAUUGGGAGAGAGGAGAGCCGAGAGGGAGAGAGGAGUUUUUCUCUCUUUUUUUUCCCUUCUUCUUUUCGGUCCAGCCCAGAGAGAGCCGAGAACCUCUUUUUUUUUGUGUCUUUUUUUUCUCCUUUUU
rnacentral:lncRNA from 1 species